rnacentral:rRNA from 1 species
AGUGAACGCUGGCGGUAGGCCUAACACAUGCAAGUCGAACGGCAGCACAGUAAGAGCUUGCUCUUACGGGUGGCGAGUGGCGGACGGGUGAGGAAUACAUCGGAAUCUACUUUUUCGUGGGGGAUAACGUAGGGAAACUUACGCUAAUACCGCAUACGACCUACGGGUGAAAGCAGGGGAUCUUCGGACCUUGCGCGAUUGAAUGAGCCGAUGUCGGAUUAGCUAGUUGGCGGGGUAAAGGCCCACCAAGGCGACGAUCCGUAGCUGGUCUGAGAGGAUGAUCAGCCACACUGGAACUGAGACACGGUCCCGACUCCUACGGGAGGCAGCAGUGGGGAAUAUUGGACAAUGGGCGGAAGCCUGAUCCAGCCAUACCGCGUGGGUGAAGAAGGCCUUCGGGUUGUAAAGGCCUUUUGUUGGGAAAGAAAAGCAGCAGGUUAAUACCCCGCUGUUCUGACGGUACCCAAAGAAUAAGCACCGGCUAACUUCGUG